UCUGUCUGGUUGGAGCGAUUCUGGGAUCGCGCUAGUGUGCUGACAUGGUCGGCGGCUUGACCGGGAAUCUUGCCUUCCUGGAGCUUUCCCGUUGUGGUGGCAUUGGAUAUAUGGGGUCGGGAGCUACAGGACAGUCGGUUGUUAUUCACUGUUAGCCAGCUCUCAGUCCCCCUUUUCUCUUUUGGUACUUCCCCUGCUCCAGCGCCUGGUGCUACGGUGCCUGUGUCUUCAUGUGUCGUAUAGGUCCUGUUCCUCUUGGGCCAAGGUACUCCA